rnacentral:tRNA from 1 species
GUUUUUGUGGUGUACAACACAUGUUCUUUUCAUGAACAAGAUAGACUUCUCAAAAAUA